rnacentral:rRNA from 1 species
AAUAGAUACCCAGGUAGUCCACGCCGUAAACGAUGAAUACUAGGUGUUGGGGAGCAAAAGCUCUUCGGUGCCGUCGCAAACGCGAUUAAGUAUUCCACCUGGGGAGUACGUUCGCAAGAAUGAAACUCAAAGGAAUUGACGGGGACCCGCACAAGCGGUGUAGCAUGUGGUUUAAUUCGAAGCAACGCGAAGAACCUUACCAGGUCUUGACAUCCCAUUGACCGCACCUUAACCGGUGCUUUCCUUCGGGACAAUGGUGACAGGUGGUGCAUGGUUGUCGUCAGCUCGUGUCGUGAGAUGUUGGGUUAAGUCCCGCAACGAGCGCAACCCCCUAUCUUUAGUAGCCAGCGGUUUGGCCGGGCACUCUAGAGAGACUGCCAGGGAUAACCUGGAGGAAGGCGGGGAUGACGUCAAAUCAUCAUGCCCCUUAUGAUCUGGGCUACACACGUGCUACAAUGGUGGCUACAAAGAGAAGCAAAGCUGUGAAGUGGAGCAAAUCUCAAAAAGGUCAUCUCAGUUCGGAUUGUAGUCUGA